rnacentral:rRNA from 1 species
AUUGAACGCUGGCGGCAGGCUUAACACAUGCAAGUCGAGCGGGGACUUCGGUCCCAGCGGCGAACGGGUGAGGAAUGCUUGGGAAUCUGCCUGGUAGUGGGGGAUAACGCUUCGAAAGGAAAGCUAAUACCGCAUACGUCCUACGGGAGCAAGGGGGGGAUCCUCGGACCUCUCGCUAUCAGAUGAGCCCAAGUCGGACUAGCUAGUUGGUGAGGUGAAGGCUCACCAAGGCGACGCUCCGUAACUGGUCUGAGAGGAUGAUCUGCCACACUGGAACUGAGACACGGUCCAGACUCCUACGGGAGGCAGCAGUGGGGAAUAUUGGACAAUGGGCGAAAGCCUGAUCCAGCCAUGCCGCGUGUGUGAAGAAGGCCUUCGGGUUGUAAAGCACUUUAAGCGAGGAGGAAUGGCUCUGGGUUAACACCCUUGAGCAGUGACGUUACUCGCAGAAUAAGCACCGGCUAACUCUGUGCCAGCAGCAGCCGCGGUAA